rnacentral:lncRNA from 12 species
AACAAACAACAAAAAAAACCCCCAAAAUAUUUUUAAUAACUAACAGACGCUCCAUGAUAUUAAAUUCCUCAGGCCUGGGAAGAACAGGGAUAGCACAGGAGUGGACACCAUCUGCAGUUACGGAAAGGGCUCCCAGGUGCCCAAGUUGAACCCAGCUGAGGUUUACCAAGAGCUGAGGAGAAUGACAAGUGGCAUCACCAAGUUGGGAAUCUACAACCUGGACAACAAGAGCCUCUAUGUCAAUGAUUACAAUGAACCCCUUGAGAGAUCCCCCCGGAGCACCACAGCUGCACCAAAAACAACAUCCAGGAAUUUCACACUGAACUUCACCUUGACCAACCUCCCCUACAAUGCAGAUCUGGAUGCCCCAAAUUCCCGCAGAUUCCUUUCCACAGUGAAAGUUAUGAACCACUAUGUGAGUCUGGCUCUGCUUGUGCCCCUUUGGGUCUUGGUGGUGACUUAAUCCACCUGCUUUA